UUUCCAUUAGAGAAGUUUCAUACCUGUUAGAUCUCCUGCUGCCAGGAACUAACCUCCUGGGAGACAGGUCUUAUCGUCAUCCAGGCAUAUAGGAGGGUGUUGGGAAAACACUUGUAGUGGAUGCUGGAUUGUGCCAUUCAGAGCCAGCUCCCUUUGCUAUUGAAGAACUUAUUUCCCUACAUGUCAGGACUUCUGCUGGCUGAUGGCCCCCAGCUGUGAGCUCUUUCAGGCAUCACCUUUGGCUGCAAAAGGCUCCCUCUCCUGAAGUUACUACCUGCAUCCCUGGAGGCAGACUUCAUCUCAUGUCUUCAUCCAAAGUUUGAACAAAUUGGCUAAGAAGGUGCUAGACAUGUAAAGGGACUAUUUUUUUUCUUAAUUCAAAUGUAGGAGGAGUAUGGAUCUCCAGGAACCAGAAGAGCUGCAUACAUAUAAACAAAGCUCCAAAUUUGGAAGCAGCAGUGAAACUCCACAGCAGUGAAAAGAAAGAAAAAAAGACUAAGCCAGGAAACCUCUUGAAGGCCCAGAGAAGUAGGCACGUAUAUAAGGUUGAAGUUUGAGUUAGAUAGUUGAUCAGAUUCAGGUUCUGAUCUUUGAGCCAGAACACUUCCAAGGUAGAAUUGUUUUUUUCCACUAAAAGCACAUCAUGUCUGCUUGUCUUUUUGUGAGAUGCCCAGACUGGAGCUGCCACAUAGGAGACACUUGGUGAGCUCUCAAGGAAGAUUGGAUGUCUAUGGAGAAUCCACGUACCUAUAUCAUAUUAGUUGGAGCAAAACACAGACUCUGGGAUGAAAGGCAAAAGUGUUAUAAUGAGGCCAAUGGAAUGUGCUGAAUCCGUUCCUCAAAGAAAAACAAAACCAAAUAUCUCUCCAAGUCUGGAUUAUACCAGAGUUUCCAAAUCAUAAACAACCAAUGAAAAAGGGAUCAUAUCAUUAUGCGUUUCUACAAGGCCUUACUGAGGUGUGAGCCUAGCACUGUCUUGUGGGCACAGCCUUGCACCUGUAUCUUCA
rnacentral:lncRNA from 1 species